rnacentral:rRNA from 1 species
CUGGCUCAGGACGAACGCUGGCGGCGUGCUUAACACAUGCAAGUCGAACGAUGAAGCCCUUUCGGGGUGGAUUAGUGGCGAACGGGUGAGUAACACGUGGGCAAUCUGCCCUGCACUCUGGGACAAGCCCUGGAAACGGGGUCUAAUACCGGAUAUGACACACGACCGCAUGGUCUGUGUGUGGAAAGCUCCGGCGGUGCAGGAUGAGCCCGCGGCCUAUCAGCUUGUUGGUGGGGUAAUGGCCUACCAAGGCGACGACGGGUAGCCGGCCUGAGAGGGCGACCGGCCACACUGGGACUGAGACACGGCCCAGACUCCUACGGGAGGCAGCAGUGGGGAAUAUUGCACAAUGGGCGCAAGCCUGAUGCAGCGACGCCGCGUGAGGGAUGACGGCCUUCGGGUUGUAAACCUCUUUCAGCAGGGAAGAAGCGCAAGUGACGGUACCUGCAGAAGAAGCGCCGGCUAACUACGUGCCAGCAGCCGCGGUAAUACGUAGGGCGCAAAGCGUUGUCCGGAAUUAUUGGGCGUAAAGAGCUCGUAGGCGGCUUGUCGCGUCGGAUGUGAAAGCCCGGGGCUUUAMCCCCGGGGUCUGCAUUUCGAUACGGGCAGGGCUAGAGUUCGGUAGGGGAGAUCGGAAUUUCCUGGUGUAGCGGGUGAAGAUGCGCAGAUAUCAGGAGGAACACCGGUGGCGAAGGCGGAUCUCUGGGGCCGAUUACUGACGCUGAGGAGCGAAAGCGUGGGGGAGCGAACAKGAUUUAGAUACCCUGGUAGUCCACGCCCGUAAACGUUUGGGAACUAGGUGUGGGGCGACAUUCCACGUCGUCCGUGCCGCARCUAACGCAUUUAWGUUCCCCCGCCUGGUGGAGUAC